UUUUUAUUAGUAUAAUAAUUACACUGAUUUGUAAAGUCAGAGAUCUACAGUGUGGGUAAAAAA
rnacentral:tRNA from 2 species